rnacentral:lncRNA from 1 species
GCCGAGUGCUUUCCUGCCCACGGAUAGUGCCCACUUGUUUUAUCUUCCCUGCAUCCAAGCCCAGCUGAGAGAAGCGAAAAAGUUCAUCCUCGUUCUCUGUCGUGUGGUCCACGUUUAGCUGAGUCACCUGCAGCCCAUCCACUGUGGACUUACACAAUAGUGCACGAUUGGUACCAACAUUGGCGAUAUAGAGCUUAUUGUUGAGAACAACAGCCACAAUGGCCAUGGCUCCUCCAGAGAUCUCCUGCUCUACAACUUUCAAUCUCUCCACGAUCUUCUGGUAUUGAGGAGGCAGCUGGUGGUGAGGAACACCCUCUGGCAGCUGGGACUGCAGGCUGGCC